ensembl:lncRNA
CUAUCUCUCCGAGAGAGCUGUGCCAGACUUCAGGGAAAUACACACUUAAGCCACUCCCUACUAUGCAGUUUACAGAACUUCUGCAAGCUACAGCACGUUUCUCUGUGCAGAGCAGAGGCAGCAAAGUUUGUGGAGGUGAAACACGCAGACAACGUUACACUGCCCAGUUCCAUCUCUUCUCUGUGGGGGGACUAUAGCGUCUCAUGGACUUUAAACAACACCCGGACUCUCAUUAAUCUGGACCAUGAGAAAGUGCUGCAGGAACCUCCUCUUGCUUACAUCAACCGUUUGUGUGUCAAUCACACAACUGGGUCUCUGCACCUUUACAACCUCAGCCCAGCAGACACUGGCAUCUAUAAGGGACAAAUCAUUAACGGAGACAGUUCAGUUUAUAAUGUCCUCUACAACGUGUCUGUUUUUAAGCCAGCUCCAGUGAUAAACCCAGAUCCAACCCCUGUGCCUGCCUCUGCAGCGAGACAUCACUGGACCACAGGAGUAUGUGUCAUCAUAUUUCUCUGUGUUUGUAUUGGACUAACAUUUAAGCUCAUGUUGAGAAGAAAACGGGAGAAGAACAAGCUACUACCUGGACAGGAUAGUUAUUAGCCUAAAAACAUGUACAAAUGACCACCUUUGAAACCUUUGCUAGCAUUGUUCAGAAUCAGAAUCAGAAUCAGAAGACUUUUAUUGCCAUAGUCUGUGAACACAGUUCACAAACUAGGAACUUGAUACGGUGAAAAAGUGCAACAUAAACACACUGAAUAAAUACAAAUACAAUAAGGGCAUGCACAAGUUAAAAAGAUAUGCUUAAAAAAAUCAAAUGAAAUACUUAAAGGGAAAAAAUAUGUACAAUAGCAGCAUCAGAACAACAGUGCAAAGUGGGUUAUUAAAGUGACCGGUGUUAUUAAGUGUCCAGUUUAGUGCAGAUAUUAUAGAGUGUUCAUGAGACAAACAGCAGAGGGGAAGAAACUGUUCUUAUGGCGAGAGGUUCUGGUCCCAAUGGACCGUAGCCUCCUGCCAGAGGGAAGUGGCUCAAAUAGUCCAUGUCCAGGGUGAGAAGUGUCAGCUGCUAUACGGCCUGCUCGCCCCCGAGUCCUGGAGACGUACAGGUCCUGUAGAGAUGGAAGGCUGCAGCCAAUCACCUUCUCAGCAGAGCGCACAAUGCGCUGUUCAUGGCUGGGUGAACAUAAAGCCCAUCAAUUCAAUUCAAUUUAUUUGUAGUCAUUGUCACAGAAGAACAACAAAAUUACAUUUGGAGCAUCCCAUAAAGUGCAAACCCAUAAAUAAUAAAUACCCCUUAAACCCAAGUGUAAACGUUAACCCAGUGUGGCUUCAGUACAACAUGAGACAGUUCUUGUAGCAGCAUGAUGGUGUCAAGUAAGGUGCACAAAACAGGGACAUACAGACAGGGACCGGAGAAUGAUGACAAAAUGCAACAAUGCAACCAGUUCAGUGUUAUUAAAAGUUGGAUGUGAUUUUUGUCCGUGAGAGGGAGGCAGAGAGGGGCCGAGAGGGGAGAGGGGCAGAGUUCAGGAGCCUCACAGCCUGUGGAUACAGACUGUUGGCCAGUCUGGAUGUUCUGGCCCUUAUGGACCUGCACCUUCUCUAAGUUAUUGCUCCAAAUCUAAAUGACUGUAUUUGGUUUUGUAUCUGAGCACCCUGACAACUAUUUGUAAAGCUCUUUCUGUAAAUAGACUUUUAUAAGCUUAAAGGUGCACUAUGUAACUUUUCUGGAUUGGGGUUCAUGACUUACACAUUGCCACAGAAUAGCAUUAAACACCAUAUUUAUCUUUAGUUUUAUGGCUCAAAAAGCUUAAAAAAUCUGCAUUCUAUCAGUAUCAGCAUCAGCUGCAUGUCUUCAUGGAGAUAGACAGGAACCUUCGACCACAACUCACUAGCCUAUGUAUUGCUUAACUAAAAUUUUAAGUGCACGUUUUUGUAAAUAUUUUUUUGGUGCUGAACACUGAAUUCUGUCUCUGUCAAAUGUGAUGUAUUUGCAAAGCAC